rnacentral:rRNA from 1 species
ACUCAAAUGAAUUGACGGGGACCCGCACAAGCAGCGGAGCAUGUGGUUUAAUUCGAAGCAACGCGAAGAACCUUACCAAGGCUUGACAUCCCUCGCUAAGGGCAGAGAUGCCCCGUUCCUUCGGGACGAGGAGACAGGUGGUGCAUGGUUGUCGUCAGCUCGUGUCGUGAGAUGUUGGGUUAAGUCCCGCAACGAGCGCAACCCCUGUGAAUAGUUGCCAAUAUUCAGUUAGGAACUCUAUUCAGACUGCCGUGGGUAACACGGAGGAAGGUGGGGACGACGUCAAAUCAUCAUGCCCCUUAUGUCUUGGGCUACACACGUGCUACAAUGGCCGUAACAAAGGGCAGCGAAGCCGCAAGGCGGAGCGAAUCUCACAAAUACGGUCUCAGUUCAGAUUGUGGGCUGCAACCCGCCCGCAUGAAGACGGAGUUGCUAGUAAUCGCGAAUCAGCAUGUCGCGGUGAAUGCGUUCCCGGGUCUUGUACACACCGCCCGU